UGAACGCGAAGAACCUUACCUGGGCUUGACAUGUAAUGAACAACAUGUGAAAGCAUGCGACUCUUCGGAGGCGUUACACAGGUGCUGCAUGGCCGUCGUCAGCUCGUGUCGUGAGAUGUUUGGUUAAGUCCAGCAACGAGCGCAACCCCUGUUGCCAGUUACCAGCACGUGAAGGUGGGGACUCUGGCGAGACUGCCCAGAUCAACUGGGAGGAAGGUGGGGACGACGUCAGGUCAGUAUGGCCCUUAUGCCCAGGGCUGCACACGUACUACAAUGCCCAGUACAGAGGGGGCCGAAGCCGCGAGGCGGAGGAAAUCCUAAAAACUGGGCCCAGUUCGGACUGUAGGCUGCAACCCGCCUACACGAAGCCGGAAUCGCUAGUAAUGGGGCAUCAGCUACGGCGCCGUGAAUACGUUCCCGGGUCUUGUACACUCCG
rnacentral:rRNA from 1 species